UUAUUCCUAUGGGACGCAGCAGUAGGGAAUAUUGCUCAAUGGGGGAAACCCUGAAGCAGCAACGCCGCGUGGAGGAGGAAGGUUUUCGGAUUGUAAACUCCUUUUGUUAGAGAAGAUAAUGACGGUGUCUGACGAAGAAGCACCGGCUAACUCCGUGCCAGCAGCCGCGGUAAUACGGAGGGGGCAAGCGUUAAUCGGAAUCACUGGGCGUAAAGACCGCGUAGGCGGGAGAGCAAGU
rnacentral:rRNA from 1 species